rnacentral:rRNA from 1 species
GACGUAGGGCGCAAGCGUUGUCCGGAUUUAUUGGGCGUAAAGAGCUCGUAGGCGGCCUGUCGCGUCGACCGUGAAAACCCGCAGCUCAACUGCGGGCUUGCGGUCGAUACGGGCAGGCUGGAGUUCGGUAGGGGAGACUGGAAUUCCUAGUGUAGCGGUGAAAUGCGCAGAUAUCAGGAAGAACACCCGUGGCUAAGGCGGCUCUCUAGUACGGUACUGACGCUGAGACGCGAAAGCGUGGGGAGCGAACAGG